rnacentral:rRNA from 1 species
AUUGAACGCUGGCGGCAGGCCUAACACAUGCAAGUCGCGCGAGCGGCGGACGGGUGAGUAAUGUAUGGGGACUGCCCGAUAGCGGGGGAUAACUACUGGUAACGGUGGCUAAUACCGCAUACUAUCGGCUGACCCAUAUGGGAUUAGCUAGUAGGUGGGGUAAAGGCUCACCUAGGCGACGAUCUCUAGCUGGUCUGAGCGGCUGAUCAGCCACACUGGGACGGAGACACGGCCCAGACUCCUACGGAGGCAGCAGUGGGGAAUAGUGCACAAUGGGAGCAAGCCUGAUGCAGCCAGGCCGCGUUUACGAAGAAGGCCUUAGGGUUGUAAAGUACUUGCAGCGGGGAGGCGUUACCCGCAGAAGAAGCACCGGCUAACUCCGUGCCAGCAGCCGCGGUAAUAC